rnacentral:rRNA from 1 species
UGGGGAAUUGUUCGCAAUGGGCGAAAGCCUGAUCCAGCCAUGCCGCGUGUGUGAAGAAGGUCUUCGGAUUGUAAAGCACUUUAAGUUGGGAGGAAGGGCAGUUACCUAAUACGUAUCUGUUUUGACGUUACCGACAGAAUAAGCACCGGCUAACUCUGUGCCAGCAGCCGCGGUAAUACAGAGGGUGCAAGCGUUAAUCGGAAUUACUGGGCGUAAAGCGCGCGUAGGUGGUUUGUUAAGUUGGAUGUGAAAGCCCCGGGCUCAACCUGGGAACUGCAUCCAAAACUGGCAAGCUAGAGUACGGUAGAGGGUGGUGGAAUUUCCUGUGUAGCGGUGAAAUGCGUAGAUAUAGGAAGGAACACCAGUGGCGAAGGCGACCACCUGGACUGAUACUGACACUGAGGUGCGAAAGCGUGGGGAGCAAACAGGAUUAGAUACCCCAGUAGUCCCUGAGCGGGCUGGCAAGGCGCAU